CCUUAGCCCUGAUAGUAGUGAAAAUCCUUUUGUGUCUCGUUCCAAAAAACGAGACAUAAAAGAUUGCAACGAAUAGCGGGAUUAGCU
rnacentral:sRNA from 1 species